ACAACGACCCACGCGCACACGUUCCUCACCCCACCCUUCUCGCUCCCGAUCCCAUCUUCCCACCGGCCUCAACUUGGCGGCUAUGGCGACGGGAGACGAGGAUCAACAACUCCUCUCCUCUGCCUUCUCCACCACCGCCCGCCACACGCCUCCCCGCGUCCCUCCUUCAUCCCCGUCCCCGAUUGGGCCGCCGCCGCCACCGCACCAUCAGGGGACGCCGUGGGAGUGCAACCACCGCGCCGCCAGGGUACGCCGCGUGUACCGGCCGGCAAUGCGUGAGCUGCCACAGGUACCGCGCCGAUCGAUGCUUCUGACGAUGCGGGAGCCGCCCCAUCCGGCGAGGACGAGGUGCGCCGUCACUGCUGAUCCUCAGGGCGCAUGCUGCAUCUAAAGCCUCCCUAAUGCGCUCCUCCACUCCGCUUCUAACACGUACUUCGUACCUGGCUCCCCGCUGCCAUGCGCCGCUGAGCUCUGGAGCCGCCCCUGUCGAAGCCCAUCGCCAGCCAUCCUUGGGUGGGCCGGCGCCGAAACUCGGGUCCCAGUGGCAUCCCCGCUCGAGGUCCUUCUCCACUUCAUCUUCUGCAGAGUUCCUGAUUUCCUCACUUCUCCUGAGGUGAAGUCUAUUGAUGAUGUGCCAAUGUGAAGGUGGUCAACUUAUAUGGAAGCUCAUCUAUUUAGCAUGCUUUUGUUUUAACUGUAUACAAACUGCAUGUUCGCAAAGACUGUGGAACAAUUCUGCAUUGGAUUGAAGUUGCGGAUCAGGAAGCAGUUUUUAUUCCAGCAGUGGAUCGAGUACUUCUAAACACAGUUAAAGAGUAAGCUACCUGCUCAACAUCUGAACGACUCUGACUGCUGAGUACAAGUCCAUCUAUAAGGAUCUAGAACACCGUAUGGAAUUCCGAAAGGCAUUCUGUGGCGAUAAACACAUGACCAGCAAGGGGCCCUGCCCCCUCCCAAUACUAUGGAUUUGUUCCUAAUAAAUACAUGAACAGUGCAACAUUUGACUUGUUUCCUGCUCUAACCGGCCCUCCCCAAGAUCCUAAUUCCACUAAUCCUGCCUCCGCCACUGCAGGCAUGCCGACCUUUUGUUAAUUUCUAUACUUUUGAGGAUGCAUCACUAAAAAGACUAGAAGAGAGAUUUAGUUAAGACUUAAUUAACAGUUAUGUAUCUGAAGACUGACAUUUGAAAUCAAAGGUUUCAUGUCAAUGAUGGAAUGCUACCAAAUUAUGUUCCAAGAAAAAUGAUUUCUGCCUCAACUGACUACAUGCAUGUUGAAUUGUUGACCCGACUUGAUGGACUAUAUAAGUGCUCUUCUCCUUGGGAAUUUGAAUGCACGCCCCUUCUAAGCAUCGCACAAUAUAUAGGCUUAUAUAUGUGGUAGUAGUCAUUGGUACAAGCAUGUGUGCAUUAGACCAGAAAAUGCUUAAGUUGCCUUUGAUACUGAUAUGGUAUCCCCUAUAAGUGUAUGAUAUUAAAUAGGUUUCUAUUGAUUCAUCAACAGAGAAAUUUAUGUCAAUUGAUUUAAUGUUGAUACAAGCUUUAUGCAAGUUUGUUUU